UCGAGAAUUUUUCACAAUGGGCGCAAGCCUGAUGGAGCGACGCCGCGUGGGGGAUGAAGGGUUUCGAUCCGUAAACCCCUGUCAUUUGCGAACAAACCUUGAUUGUGAAUAGCGAUCGAGCUGAUUGUAGCGGAAGAGGGAGGGACGGCUAACUCUGUGCCAGCAGCCGCGGUAAUACAGAGGUCCCAAGCGUUGUUCGGAUUCACUGGGCGUAAAGGGUGCGUAGGUGGUCGGUGAGGUUCGGUGUGAAAGCUCGGAGCUCAACUCCGAAACGGCAUUGAAAACUCAUCGGCUGGGGGGUCGGAGGGGAGACUGGAAUUCUCGGUGUAGCAGUGAAAUGCGUAGAUAUCGAGAGGAACACCAGUGGCGAAGGCGAGUCUCUGGACGACUCCUGUCACUGAGGCACGAAAGCCAGGGGAGCAAACAG
rnacentral:rRNA from 1 species